GCCAGUAAGCAAACAAAUUAUUUGUGUACUGAUAGAGCUAUAGACUAUUAAAGAAAUGUUCCGUAUUAAGGCUGGUACUACGUUCUUUUUUAUGGAAAAAUUUCCGAAAAUCGUUCUUUCAGUGGUUUGACAAGGUUGAUUUUUUUGGGUUUCUUUAGGGAAAAUGUUGUCUUUACAUAAAAAAAUAAUAUGGCAUCAAACAAUUUGUCAGCUGCUUACGAACAUGUGUACACACAAAUCGUUAUGUUGUUUAAGCAUCGGUAUUUGCUCGAUUUGUUUGUUCUGCUUACAUAUUCGCACUAAUGCUAUUUUCUAAAUACUUGUGGCAUCAAUUGUCCGAGAUGGUCAGGACCGGAAUCCAGUGAGCUGAGUUUUGAAUAUUUAGCCUUCUCAUUGUCAUUCAACUGGAAAUUGGGCGCCCUUCAAAACGAGUUUGCCAGAACCAUCAUGUGUCGCAAAGUCAACCUUUGGGUCGGUGUACUUUUCAAUGUUUUUCGAGUCUGAAAGCCAAUAACGCGACCGCCGAAAUCUAAUUGAUUUUGUUUGUAAUUUUGCUCAGGGUAGAAAAAAUAAGUGUUUAAUAUACUCAAAAAAAUAAAAUAAAAAUAAAAUAAUUUUUCUUUUAUAGCAAGCUAUUGUAAGCAAUCUGUAUGAAAUAAUAAAGUUUGUGAACACA